rnacentral:rRNA from 1 species
GCGGCGUGCUACACAUGCAGUCGUACGCGGUGGCACACCGAGUGGCGAACGGGUGCGUAACACGUGAGGAACCUACCCCGAAGUGGGGGAUAACACCGGGAAACCGGUGCUAAUACCGCAUACGCUCCCCGGACCGCAUGGUCCAGGGAGCAAAGCCUCCGGGCGCUUCGGGACGGCCUCGCGGCCUAUCAGCUUGUUGGUGGGGUAACGGCCCACCAAGGCGACGACGGGUAGCUGGUCUGAGAGGACGAUCAGCCACACUGGGACUGAGACACGGCCCAGACUCCUACGGGAGGCAGCAGUGGGGAAUAUUGCGCAAUGGGCGAAAGCCUGACGCAGCAACGCCGCGUGGAGGACGAAGGCCUUCGGGUUGUAAACUCCUUUCAGCAGGGACGAAACUGACGGUACCUGCAGAAGAAGCCCCGGCUAACUACGUGCCAGCAGCCGCGGUAAG